rnacentral:lncRNA from 1 species
UGUAUACUCAAUCACUGAGUUUACAUAAUUGGAACAUAAUAGUGAAGCAAACUUCCCCAUCUUCCACUUAGCUCCCAUUUCUGCAUGUAUCCUUGUGGCUACAUAAGCUAUCCAAUUGAAUACAAUGCCUUCCAGUGUUCCUAUCACAAAAAACAGUAAUCGCUUUGCCAUACAUGUGGUAUGCCGAUUCAAUGCUAACCGCUUUUGAACGAACUGCAUCCAUUCCAUAAGUUUGGACAUAAGUGCCUUCUAUACCUUCCAUCCUUGAUUUCGCUUGAGAGACGACAUUCCUUCUUUGAAAUAGCUUCCUAGCCUGAAGUCAUUUGAAGCGUCUCCUCCCACCUCAAGCUUUGGUUGGUAAAUACAAGACCUUAUGUAAGAUAUUCUCAUCUAUCCCAAUCAGGACUCUUCUUACUACACU